UACGAUGAGAGUUAACUUGUCGGAAUAUAGGGGAACCAUCCUCUAAGGCUAAGUAUUUAUAAAUUUAGCGAUAGUGAAAAGUACCGUGAGGGAAAAGUUGAAAAGAGUGUAGAAUAAUAUUAGAUGUAGAAAAAGAAAUAAAGAUACAUAGAAUAUUAGUUCUUUCGAAAGUAAAUAACGCAGUGAAACAGAUUUGAAUUAGUAACUCUAUAAGCAGUCAAAAUCAUAAAAUGAAAAUUUAUAACGUGAUAAUGGCGUACCUUUUGCAUAAUGGGUCAGCAAGUUAAUAGGAGUAGCAAGGUUUAAAGCCUAAGCGAAAGCGACUAGGUCAUUUAAAAAAAUGAAAUGGGUUAAGUUACUUCUAUUAGACCCGAAGCCAGGUGAUCUUUCCAAGACCAGAUUAUAAUGGAUCGAACGGGUGAAUGUUGCAUAAUUCUCCGAAGAGUUUUGGAAAGCGGUGAAAUGCCAAUCUGACCUGGUGAUAGCUGGUUUUCUACGAAACAUAUUUUAGUAUGACAUCUAUUCAAUAUUUAUGGAGGUACAGCACGGUAAUUCCAUACAAGUAUUAAAUUUAUUUUUAAUAUGAGUUUAAGUUGCGGGGACUUCGAAAAUCUUACCAAUGGAAAUAAAUCUCGGAAUUACAUAAAUAGAUGAUAGAUAUUCAGACUAUUCAUGAUAAGUUGGAUAGUCAAGACGGAAACAGCCGUGAACACAGAUUAAGGUCCCGAAUGAUUAUUAAGUGAAAUAAAGGAAGUGACAAAUCGAAUGCAGUUGAAAAGUGAGCCUGGUAGUCGCUACUUAUAAUGAACGUGUAUCAACGUAUCAGCCCUUAGAUUGUUGCCCCGAAGAUUUAACGGGUCUAAAUAAUCAACCGAUAUCGUGUUAAUUUUAAAGAUAGAUUCUUAAUAAUAAUUAAUUUUGUUAUUAUAUUUAUAUUUAAAAUUUAGGUAGUAGAACAUUCAGAUAAUUUAUAGAAAUAUAGAAAAACUAUAGAAAUCCAAACCUAAAAUGAACAGUGUUACAUUGUUUAUAGGAAUCUGAAGAGAGAAUGCUGACAUGAGUAACGUAAAAAGAAAGUUUAAACUUUCUCGCCGAAUACGAAAGGGUUAUUAGCUAAAGAUUAGAUCUACUAAUGUUAAUGCGGUCUCUAAGGUACAAAACCAACGUUUUGGCUGAUGAGUUUAGCUUUGAAAGUCCACAUGGAGAAUAAAAUUUUACACAGAAUUUUUUGUAAGAAAUUACAAGAAUAGAAGAUUAUAUUUUAACAAUUUUAAGACAAUUUGCAAAAUUUAAUAUUGAAUUGUUCUGGUAUUAUAUUAUUUGAAUAUUUAAUAUAAUUCUAAUGUUUAUUAGUUUAUUAUUAAUAAAUAUUUUAGUAAAUUUUUAUAUUAAUUGGGGCCAGGAAGAAGAUGUUUAUUUGAAUAACUUCGAAACUAUAUUCUAAUUUAGUCUUAUAUUUUUAGAAACUUAAAGUGAAUAUUUUAAGAUUAUAUUCUAUUAAAAAAAUAUACAUUAUAUUUUUAUAUUUUUAAAUUAGUCACUUAAUUUUAUUUUAAUUUUUGUAUAUUUGUAUAAGCAAAAAAUCCUAAGUUAGUAGAAGUUAAUUUAUUAUUAGAAUUUGGUGAGAGUUGAAUUAUUUUAAUAUUUUAAUGAUUUAGGCUAGUUUUUUUUAAGAAUUAGUUUCUAAGCACAACCGUACCCUAAGCCGACACAGGUUCGUAGGUAGAGUAUACUAAGGCGUAGAGCUAAAAGUUGUUAAGGAACUCGGCAAAUUAUCCUCAUAAGUUCGACAACAAGAGGAACCAUGAAUCUUUUAUAAAUUAAUAACUCCUGUUAAUUUAUUUCUAUGGUGGCACAAAAUCGGAAGCCCCGACUGUUUACUAAAAACACAGCUGUCUGCGAUUAUGAAAAUAAUAGUAUAGAUAGCGAGAUUUGCCCAAUGCCAUAUGAAUAAGUAAAAUAAUGGGUAACUGUUUCUUUAUAAAAAGGUGGUUAAUAGCGGUCUUAACUAUGAGGAUCCUAAGGUAGCAAAAUAAAUUGGCCAUUAAAUGUGGUCCAGUAUCAAUAAUUUAACGAUGGCUUCACUGUCUCUACAACUUGCUCAGUGAAAUUGAAUUACCCGUGCAGAUGCGGGUUGCCUCAAAGAGGACGGGAAGACCCCAUGCAGCUUUACUGUAGCUAGUUAUCACAUAUAAAGUUCUAUUACCUCGGUUAUACAGAUAAUAGGGAGUCGAUUAGACAUUUAUGGAAAACCUUAAGUCUGAGGUGGAACUGGUGUUUAUCUUUUUAUUUAUAAAAUUUAAGAGGAGAUAGUUGACUAGUUGGCAGUUUGACUGGGGCGGUCGUCUUUAAUAGAGUAGCAAAGUACAUCCAAAUAGAUUAAAAAAAAUUAGAUCAUAUUUACUUUUUAAGUAAGGUUAAUAUUCUGACAAAUUAUUUUAUAUUGUAAAUUAUUAUUUAUUAAUAAUUUCUUUAAAAUCAAAUUAUACAAAAUUCAUUAAUAAGGUAUGCUAGACAUUAAAUGGAGGUUAAUGAAUCAUGAAAGAUUCUGGAGAGUGCAAUGACGGUAAGCAUGCUUAACUGAAAGACUUAAUAGUCGAACAGAUACGUAAGUAGGGCAUAGUGACCCCUUGCUAUAUUAUGGAAUAGACAGGGAUCAAUUGAUAAAAGUUACGCUGGGGAUAACAGCCUAAUAGCCAGCGAGAGUACACAUUGUCCUGGCUGUUUGGGACCUCGAUGUCGACUUAAUUUAUCCUCCAGGGGCAAAACCUUGGAAGGGUUCGGCUGUUCGCCGAUUAAAAAAUUACAUGAGUUGGGUUUAAUACGACGUGAGUCAGUAUGGUCCCUAUCCUUUUGAGGGACAAAUAGUAAAAAGGGGCAGACCUUCUAGUACGAAAGGACCAAUAGGCUGUGUUUCUCUAGUGUACCAAUUGUAAUAUUUAUGGAAUUUAUAAAAAUUUAGAUGGAAACAACUGAUUUAAGUAAAUGAAAUAAAAUUUGCAUAGUUGGGUAGCCACAAACAUAUUAGAUAAUUACUGAAAGUAUAUCAAGUUCGAAUCUAUCCCCCAGAUACUAUCAAUGGAUUUCUCUUU
rfam:Paxillus involutus ATCC 200175 unplaced genomic scaffold PAXINscaffold_1429, whole genome shotgun sequence.